UACAGAGGGGGCAAGCGUUGUUCGGAAUUACUGGGCGUAAAGGGCGCGUAGGCGGCCUGUUAAGUCGAACGUGAAAUCCCCGGGCUCAACCCGGGAACUGCGUCCGAUACUGGCAGGCUCGAAUCCGGGAGAGGGAUGCGGAAUUCCAGGUGUAGCGGUGAAAUGCGUAGAUAUCGUAAGGAAGACCAGUGGCGAAGGCGGGUCUCUGGACAGUUCCUGACGCUGAGGCACGAAGGUCAGGGGAGCAAACGGG
rnacentral:rRNA from 1 species